rnacentral:ribozyme from 1 species
GCCCAACAAAAUCUUAUCCCUACCUCCUCGCGGUACUGGCCGGGAUACGAGUAACCUUAGGGAAAAUCGGGUAACCAACCCCGGUGGGAACUUUAACCGUAUGCUGACAGGGGAGG